GGCAGGAGAAGAAGCUGCACCAUCUUGUCCCAAAGGCAGCUGAGUCCUGUUGCAGCAAGGAUUGUUCUACAGCCUUUGGCUACUGAUACCUGGACUGCAGGGAGAUUUGUGCGUCCUGUUUGUCCUAAUCUGAAGUCUUGUCUACACUGCCUAGCUAUGAGUGCAGUGAAAGCUGUGUUGCUCUGACCUUGGCUAAUACGAGGCUGCUCAUCACCCUGUUUGCAGGUGUCCUUGCCUUUCCCUCGGUGUCUGAUGUCUUUGGGAUGGCAGUUGUGGAAAUGUUCUUCUGUGGUUCUUCUAUGUACUUCUAAGYGAAGUGACCCUUCAGUCCUGCCUGUGUUCGUCAAAAAAAGCAGUCAAAAGGAGAGUGUGAAACUCAGCUAACCAGCAGCUGCUUAGGGAUCUGAAAGUGUUUACAAGAAAGGAAACCAACUCUGAAAUCAGCCUUGGUGAUUUUACCUGACCGGAUCUGUGCUGCCUUUCUGCUCGUUUGAGGACUGGGUCUCCCUCCAGGUGCUCUUAGCAAGAUCUGCUUGGUGUGCAAGGGUCUGAGGGACUAAAUGGAAACCUGUGGGGCCACCUCCUCAUGUGGACAGUUCAACCUGGCCAUCGCUGGCUCUCGUGGUGUGAAGCUGCCUGUGCAGAUUGAGGUGAGCAAGCACAGCAGUGGACACCGGAMAAAGCAGACGCUGGGGACCACUGAACAAGACCUUGCCCAAAGCAGAAGGGUAUCCUGAGAGCUUCCUGUGUUCACCAGUAUGGAUGGCCACAGUAGCUUGAUGACCUCUGUAUUUUCAUGGUUGAGCAGAAGUUUAUUGUAUUGUAGCCCACUGAGAGAGUUUUUUCCAUUCAAAUAGUCUAGCAGAGAUACGGAAAGGCUUUAUAAUGACAACUCUACAGCCACUGAACAUCAAUACUUCCAAAUGUGCAACAUUUAAACAGUAAUAGAACUCAGUAAAACUGUACAUUAUAAUGAAUAAAAUUACAUCUUGCAUUUUG